rnacentral:rRNA from 1 species
GAUGAACGCUGGCGACGUGCCUAAUACAUGCAAGUAGAACGCUGAAGCUUGGUGCUUGCACCGAGCGGAUGAGUUGCGAACGGGUGAGUAACGCGUAGGUAACCUGCCUCUUAGCGGGGGAUAACUAUUGGAAACGAUAGCUAAUACCGCAUAAAAGUCGAUAUCGCAUGAUAUUGAUUUGAAAGGUGCAAUUGCAUCACUAAGAGAUGGACCUGCGUUGUAUUAGCUAGUUGGUGAGGUAACGGCUCACCAAGGCGACGAUACAUAGCCGACCUGAGAGGGUGAUCGGCCACACUGGGACUGAGACACGGCCCAGACUCCUACGGGAGGCAGCAGUAGGGAAUCUUCGGCAAUGGGGCAACCCUGACCGAGCAACGCCGCGUGAGUGAAGAAGGUUUUCGGAUCGCAAAGCUCUGUUGUAAGAGAAGAACGAGUGUGAGAGUGGAAAGUUCACACUGUGACGGUAACUUACCAGAAAGGGACGGCUAACUACGUG